GUUGUAUGGUUAAGUGACAAAGCGUAUACGGUGGAUGCCUUGGCAGUUAGAGGCGAUGAAGGACGUGUAAGUCUGCGAAAAGCUGUGGUGAGCUGACAAAAAGCAUUUGAGCCACAGAUGUCCGAAUGGGGAAACCCACACAUUUAUGUGUAUCAUUAACUGAAUACAUAGGUUAAUGAGGCGAACGUAGGGAACUGAAACAUCUAAGUACCUAUAGGAAAAGAAAUCAACCGAGAUUCCCUUAGUAGCGGCGAGCGAACGGGGAGUAGCCCUUAAGCUAUAUUGGUGUUAGUGGAAGGCUCUGGAAAGUGCCACGAUACUGGGUGAUAGUCCCGUACAUGACAAUGCCAUUAUAGUGAAAACGAGUAGGUCGGGACACGUGUUAUCCUGACUGAAUAUGGGGGGACCAUCCUCCAAGGCUAAAUACUCCUAACUGACCGAUAGUGAACCAGUACCGUGAGGGAAAGGCGAAAAGAACCCCUGUGAGGGGAGUGAAACAGAACCUGAAACCGUAUACGUACAAGCAGUGGGAGCCUCUCUUUAUGGGGGGUGACUGCGUACCUUUUGUAUAAUGGGUCAGCGACUUAUAUUUAGUAGCAAGGUUAAGUGAAUAACGGAGCCGUAGCGAAAGCGAGUGUUAACUGCGCGUUGAGUUGCUAGGUAUAGACCCGAAACCCGGUGAUCUAGCCAUGGGCAGGUUGAAGGUUGAGUAACAUCAACUGGAGGACCGAACCCACUAACGUUGAAAAGUUAGGGGAUGACUUGUGGCUGGGGGUGAAAGGCCAAUCAAACCGGGAGAUAGCUGGUUCUCCCCGAAAUCUAUUUAGGUAGAGCCUCGGACGAACACCAUUGGGGGUAGAGCACUGUUAAGGCUAGGGGGUCAUCCCGACUUACCAACCCUUUGCAAACUCCGAAUACCGAUGAGUGCUAUCCGGGAGACACACGGCGGGUGCUAACGUCCGUCGUGAAGAGGGAAACAACCCAGACCGCCAGCUAAGGUCCCAAAAUAUUGCUAAGUGGGAAACGAUGUGGGAAGGCUAAGACAGCUAGGAGGUUGGCUUAGAAGCAGCCACCCUUUAAAGAAAGCGUAAUAGCUCACUAGUCGAGUCGGCCUGCGCGGAAGAUGUAACGGGGCUAAGCAAUAUACCGAAGCUGCGGAUUUGAACUUAGGUUCAAGUGGUAGGGGAGCGUUGUGUAAGUGGUUGAAGCUCAAUUGAGAAGUUGGGUGGACAUAUCACAAGUGCGAAUGCUGACAUGAGUAACGAUAAUGGGGGUGAAAAACCCCCACGCCGGAAGACCAAGGUUUCCUGUCCCAUGCUAAUCAGGGCAGGGUAAGUCGGCCCCUAAGGCGAGGCAGAAAUGCGUAGUCGAUGGGAAACGGAUUAAUAUUUCCGUACUUGUAUAAUCAGUGAUGGGAGGACGGAGAAGGCUAGGCAAGCCUGGCGUUGGUAGUCCAGGUGAAAGUGCGUAGGCUGAGUGUUUAGGUAAAUCCGGACACUUAAGGCCGAGACACGAGACGAGCCACUACGGUGGUGAAGUUGUUGAUGCCCUGCUUCCAGGAAAAGUCUCUAAGCUUAUGAUUAUGCGAACCGUACCCCAAACCGACACAGGUGGUCAGGUAGAGAAUACUAAGGCGCUUGAGAGAACUCGGGUGAAGGAACUCGGCAAAAUUGUACCGUAACUUCGGGAGAAGGUACGCCUCUGUUGGUGAUAGGACUUGCUCCUUAAGCGAAUGGAGGCCGCAGUGACCAGGUGGCUGGGACUGUUUAUUAAAAACACAGCACUGUGCAAAAUCGAAAGAUGACGUAUACGGUGUGACACCUGCCCGGUGCCGGAAGGUUAAUUGAUGGGGUUAUCUUUUAGAGAAGCUCUUGAUCGAAGCCCCGGUAAACGGCGGCCGUAACUAUAACGGUCCUAAGGUAGCGAAAUUCCUUGUCGGGUAAGUUCCGACCUGCACGAAUGGUGUAACCAUGGCCACGCUGUCUCCACCCGAGACUCAGUGAAAUUGAAAUCGCAGUGAAGAUGCUGUGUACCCGCACCUAGACGGAAAGACCCCGUGAACCUUUACUAUAGCUUGGCACUGAACAUUGAACCUACAUGUGUAGGAUAGGUGGGAGGCUUUGAAGCAUUGUCGCCAGAUGAUGUGGAGCCAUCCUUGAAAUACCACCCUUGUAUGUUUGAUGUUCUAACAUAGGUCCCUAAUCGGGAUUAUGGACAGUGUCUGGUGGGUAGUUUGACUGGGGCGGUCUCCUCCCAAAUCGUAACGGAGGAGCACGAAGGUUAGCUAAUCACGGUCGGACAUCGUGAGGUUAGUGCAAUGGCAUAAGCUAGCUUAACUGCGAGACAGACACGUCGAGCAGGUACGAAAGUAGGUCAUAGUGAUCCGGUGGUUCUGUAUGGAAGGGCCAUCGCUCAACGGAUAAAAGGUACUCCGGGGAUAACAGGCUGAUACCGCCCAAGAGUUCAUAUCGACGGCGGUGUUUGGCACCUCGAUGUCGGCUCAUCACAUCCUGGGGCUGAAGUCGGUCCCAAGGGUAUGGCUGUUCGCCAUUUAAAGUGGUACGCGAGCUGGGUUUAGAACGUCGUGAGACAGUUCGGUCCCUAUCUGGUGUGGGCGUUGGAUGAUUGAGGGGAGCUGCUCCUAGUACGAGAGGACCGGAGUGGACGAACCGCUGGUGUUCGGGUUGUCAUGCCAAUGGCAUUGCCCGGUAGCUACGUUCGGAAUCGAUAACCGCUGAAAGCAUCUAAGCGGGAAGCGAGCCCCAAGAUGAGUCAUCCCUGACCUUUAAGGUCUGGAAGGGUUGUUAUAGACUAUGACGUUGAUAGGCAGGAUGUGGAAGUGUUGUAAGGCAUUAAGCUAACCUGUACUAAUUGCCCGAGAGGCUUAACCAUACAACGCCUAA
rnacentral:rRNA from 1 species